rnacentral:piRNA from 1 species
UGUAACUCUGGUUCCUUCCCCC